rnacentral:tRNA from 1 species
GCUUCAGUAGCUCAGUUGGAAGAGCGUCAGUCUCAUAAUCUGAAGGUCGAGANUUCNANCCUCCCCUGGAGCA